UACGUAGGGACCAAGCGUUGUCCGGAAUCAUUGGGCGUAAAGAGCUCGUAGGCGGUCUGUUGCGUCCGCUGUGAAAACUCGGGGCUUAACCCCGAGCCUGCAGUGGAUACGGGCAGACUAGAGGUAGGUAGGGGAGAAUGGAAUUCCCGGUGUAGCGGUGAAAUGCGCAGAUAUCGGGAGGAACACCGGUGGCGAAGGCGGUUCUCUGGGCCUUGCCUGACGCUGAGGAGCGAAAGCGUGGGGAGCGAACAGG
rnacentral:rRNA from 1 species